rnacentral:rRNA from 1 species
AGCGAACGCUGGCGGCAGGCCUAACACAUGCAAGUCGAACGAAGUCUUCGGACUUAGUGGCGGACGGGUGAGUAACACGUGGGAACGUGCCUUUAGGUUCGGAAUAACUCAGGGAAACUUGUGCUAAUACCGAAUGUGCCCUUCGGGGGAAAGAUUUAUCGCCUUUAGAGCGGCCCGCGUCUGAUUAGCUAGUUGGUGAGGUAAAGGCUCACCAAGGCUACGAUCAGUAGCUGGUCUGAGAGGAUGACCAGCCACAUUGGGACUGAGACACGGCCCAAACUCCUACGGGAGGCAGCAGUGGGGAAUCUUGCGCAAUGGGCGAAAGCCUGACGCAGCCAUGCCGCGUGGAUGAUGAAGGUCUUAGGAUUGUAAAAUUCUUUCACCGGGGACGAUAAUGACGGUGCCCGGAGAAGAAGCCCCGGCUAACUUCGUGCCAGCCGCCGCUGUAACAC